AGAGGAAAGUCUGGGUAGUAUGUUAACUGUGUUAACUUUAAGAAACUAAUAAACUGUUUAACAAAGUGAUUGUACCAUUUUACACUCCCAGUAGU
rnacentral:pre_miRNA from 1 species